CUAUUUGUUGUGUUACUACAAUUUUGUGUUUUAUUUUAUGUUUUUUUUUGUAAAAUGUUUAGGUUUUUUUAUGUUUUGUUGUAGUAUUUAAAAUUUGGUUUUUGAACUGGAUUAGUACCCAGGUAAGCAAAAUUUAUUAAUUCGGGAGUAAAGUUUUGUUUAAACCGAAAAAAUAUUGACUGACUUUAGAUUUUUCUUUGGAACAUGUGUUUUAUCGGAGAGCCCUCUUUUUUAGUUAAUUUUGUUGGCUCAUGUAUGAUUGUUUAGUUUUUACUUUUUUGGUAAUGCUAUAUGUCUUAUGCAUUUAAAACAGAUAUAUAUUUGGCUUAUGAAUUUAUUUUCAUGUGUUACUAUUGUUAAUUUUUUUUGGAUUAGUUUUUAAUUUUGCUAUUGAAAUUGGAAAAGAAAGUAA
rnacentral:rRNA from 1 species